rnacentral:rRNA from 1 species
AGUAACGCGUAAGAACUUGCCCUUUAGACUGGGAUAACAGAGGGAAACUUCUGAUAAUACUGGAUAAGUUAGUAUAUCGCAUGAUAUGCAAAUGAAAGCUACGGCACUAAAGGAGAGCUUUGCGUCCUAUUAGCUAGUUGGUAAGGUAAGAGCUUACCAAGGCGAUGAUAGGUAGCCGGCCUGAGAGGGUGGACGGCCACAAGGGGACUGAGAUACGGCCCUUACUCCUACGGGAGGCAGCAGUC